rnacentral:ncRNA from 1 species
UUAAUGCUAAUGACGAGAAAGAGUACACCUUAGCCGGAAUGUCCAAGAGAGUCAGCGUUGGUGAGAGCUGAUACAAACCGUUUGGUGGAAUGGGUCUCUGAAGCGCAAGCUGAACGAAUCUGCAUCUUGACUAUCAGGAUGGAGAUAUCAAGUAGGCAAGCCGGGGGUUUCCCGUUACAGAAACACGGGUAUCGAGAGCAUGGAUCAUUCUCUCCGCAUCCGGUUAGAGGUAUGGGACAGCUUUUUUAAUUCCAGCGGCUUGCGCUGACCCAUAUAAAUUAAGGUGGCAACACAGAAGUACUUUCUGUCCUUUACAUAGGACGGGAAGUUUUUUAUUUUAAAAUAAAGUGCCGCCCUCUCCGGAUGAACAAGAGAUGAAAUUAUGUUUUCUCCGUACCUGAUAGAGGUACUUGUAGAUACACUACACAAGUACAAAUUAAGGUGGCACCACAGAAGCUUUCUGUCCUUUGG